AAGACAAUGGAGGAAUCCCAGGCAGACUGAACAGGAGAGAGACCAGGACUCGGGAGGGACUUUAGGAGCGGGUCGGUUAGGGCUGCAGGGGUGACGUGUGGGAAGAAGCCGUGAGCUGCCCUGAGCCGGCUACAGCUUUGAUCCAACCUGCUCUGAAAACGGUGGGAGCAACCUAUCACAUACCAAAACUUCAGCCGGCCACAGGAGCACACAUGGAGCCCUUGCUCAAGCAUAUUAGAGAGCCACAGCCUCUGGUCAGCAAGCUAAUGUGGAGCUCGAGUCUGCCAGCACAAGCUCAAGAUAAAGCCUGACAAGUCCUGAUGCUUUGCAGAGCUGGUAUGAAGUCCAUGUUCUGCCAGUAGCAAUGGCACUGUUGUAUUUACUGAGCUACAGUAUUUGGAAAUGUGAAAGUAACUCAACUCUAAUAUUACUUGUCAUUUUGUAGCCUUCAAUGUACUUAAUUAAAAAUAAUUACACCUUUAGCAUUCAGAUCUUAAGGGCAAUGGGUAAAUCCUUAUAUUCCUUUUAACUGAAGAGUAGAGAUUACUCUUUAGUAGCAAAAGACAAAUGUAAGAGCAAUUGUUAUAAAUUAAUGGUUAUUAUAUGCAUCAUAUAAACCAGCUAAUGAAUAUUUUGCUAUUGCAUACAGUAUAUUUUUUCAAGCACUGUCAA